rnacentral:rRNA from 1 species
AGGACGAACGCUGGCGGCGUGCUUAACACAUGCAAGUCGAGCGGAAAGGCCCUUCGGGGUACUCGAGCGGCGAACGGGUGAGUAACACGUGAGUAAUCUGCCCCUAGCUCUGGGAUAGCUCCGGGAAACCGGGAUUAAUACCAGAUACGACCACUUUAGACAUCUGUUGUGGUGGAAAGAAUUUUGGCUAGGGAUGAGCUCGCGGCCUAUCAGCUUGUUGGUGAGGUAACGGCUCACCAAGGCGACGACGGGUAGCCGGCCUGAGAGGGCGACCGGCCACACUGGGACUGAGACACGGCCCAGACUCCUACGGGAGGCAGCAGUGGGGAAUAUUGCGCAAUGGGCGAAAGCCUGACGCAGCGACGCCGCGUGGGGAUGAAGGCUUCGGGUUGUAAACCCUUCAGCAGGACGAAGCGAAAGUGACGGUACCUGCAGAAGAAGCGCCGGCUAACUACGCGCCAGCAGCCGC